GUGAGGAAUAUUGGUCAAUGGGCGAGAGCCUGAAACAGCCAAGUCGCGUGAAGGAAGAAGGAUCUAUGGUUCGUAAACUUCUUUUGCAGGGGAAUAAAGUGCAGGACGUGUCCUGUUUUGUAUGUACCCUGAGAAUAAGGAUCGGCUAACUCCGUGCCAGCAGGCGCGGUAAUACGGAGGAUCCGAGCGUUAUCCGGAUUUAUUGGGUUUAAGGGGUGCGUAGGUGGUUUGAUAAGUCAGCGGUGAAAGUGUGCAGCUUAACUGUAAAAAUGCCGAUGAAACUGUCGGACUUGAGUGUAGAUGAGGUAGGCGGAAUGCGUGGUGUAGCGGUGAAAUGCAUAGAUAUCACGCAGAACUCCGAUUGCGAAGGCAGCUUACUAAGCUACAACUGACACUGAAGCACGAAAGCGUGGGGAUCAAACAGGAUUAGAUACCCGAGUAGUCC
rnacentral:rRNA from 1 species